rnacentral:rRNA from 1 species
UACGUAGGGGGCUAGCGUUGUCCGGAAUCAUUGGGCGUAAAGCGCGUGUAGGCGGUCCGGUAAGUCCGCUGUGAAAGUCGGGGGCUCAACCCUCGAAUGCCGGUGGAUACUGUCGGGCUAGAGUACGGAAGAGGCGAGUGGAAUUCCUGGUGGUAGCGGUGAAAUGCGCAGAUAUCAGGAGGAACACCGGUGGCGAAGGCGGUUCUCUGGGCCUUACCUGACACUGAGGAGCGAAAGCGUGGGGAGCGAACAGG